GGAGGCUUAGUUCAGCUGGGAGAGCAUCUGCCUUACAAGCAGAGGGUCGGGGGUUCGAUCCCCUCAGCCUCCACCA
rnacentral:tRNA from 1 species